GACGAACGCUGGCGGCGUGCCUAAUACAUGCAAGUAGAACGCACAGUUUAUACCGUAGCUUGCUACACCAUAGACUGUGAGUUGCGAACGGGUGAGUAACGCGUAGGUAACCUGCCUGGUAGCGGGGGAUAACUAUUGGAAACGAUAGCUAAUACCGCAUAAUAUUAAUUAUUGCAUGAUAAUUAAUUGAAAGGUGCAAUUGCACCACUACCAGAUGGACCUGCGUUGUAUUAGCUAGUAGGUGAGGUAACGGCUCACCUAGGCGACGAUACAUAGCCGACCUGAGAGGGUGAUCGGCCACACUGGGACUGAGACACGGCCCAGACUCCUACGGGAGGCAGCAGUAGGGAAUCUUCGGCAAUGGACGAAAGUCUGACCGAGCAACGCCGCGUGAGUGAAGAAGGUUUUCGGAUCGUAAAGCUCUGUUGUAAGAGAGGAACGGGUGUGAGAGUGGAAAGUUCACACUGUGACGGUAUCUUACCAGAAAGGGACGGCUAACUACGUG
rnacentral:rRNA from 1 species